rnacentral:rRNA from 1 species
GACGAACGCUGGCGGCGUGCUUAACACAUGCAAGUCGAACGAAGUGGGGAACGGGUGAGUAAUACGUGGGUAACCUGCCCUCCUUUUUGGUAUAAGGCUUGGACACGUGGUCUAAUACCGAAUACAGUGGGAUGGGCUCGCGGCCUAUCGGCUUGUUGUUGGCGUGCUGGCCGACUAAGGCGGUGCCGUGUAGCCGGCCUGAGAGGGUGACCGGCAACGUUGGGACUGCGAUACGGCCCAGAGUGGCACGAGAGGGAGCAGUUGGGGAUAUUGGGGAAUGGUCGACAGGCUGAUGCAGCGGCGUCGCGUAGGUGUUGAAGGCUUUCAGGUUGUAAACUUCUGUAGCUAGCGAAUGGGUAGUUGGAGAGGAAGCGCCGGCUAACUACGUGCCAGCAGCCGCGGUAAUAC